CCUACGGGGCGCAGCAGUGAGGAAUAUUGGUCAAUGGACGAGAGUCUGAACCAGCCAUGUAGCGUGAAGGAUGACUGCUCUAUGAGUUGUAAACUUCUUUUAUACAGGAAUAAACCGAGGUACGCGUGUCUUUCUGCAAGUAUCUUAUGAAUAAGGAUCGGCUAACUCCGUGCCAGCAGCCGCGGUAAUACGGAGGAUUCGAGCGUUAUCCGGAUUUAUUGGGUUUAAAGGGAGCGUAGAUGGGUUGUUAAGUUAGUUGUGAAAUUCUGAGGCUCAACCGUUGAAUUGCAAUUGAUACUGGCAGUCUUGAGUACAGUUGAGGUAGGCGGAAUGUGUGGUGUAGCGGUGAAAUGCUUAGAUAUCACAAAGAACCCCGAUUGCGAAGGCAGCUUACCAAGCUGCGACUGACAUUGAUGCUCGAAAGUGUGGGUAUCAAACAGGAGUAGAUACCCCAGUAGUC
rnacentral:rRNA from 1 species